CCCAGGGCUGGGGCUCAGGGAGGGCUUCCUCAGGCGCUGGCCCCAGAGUCAGGCUGCACAUUGGCUUGGAGGACAGGCCUUUCCUCUGGGACUGUGAGGCCCAGAGUGCCCACCCAGAACUCCACCUCUGACCUCACAAAGGCCUGCUUCAGAACUCGGUCUCCACGGCACUGCUGGCCAGAUGAGGGAUGUUAUUUUGGGCAGUGCAUCUGGACUUGGUUCAAGUGGCACCAGCCAAAUCCCUGCCUUACUGACCUCUCCCCUGGAGGAGCAGGAGCAGCACUCGAGGCCGCCCUGGGAGGGCUGAGAGGCAGGCUCUGGACUGGGGACACAGGGAUAGCUGAGCCCCAGCUGGGGGUGGAAGCUGAGACAGGGACAGUCACAGAGGAACAAGAUCAAGAUGCGCUUUAACUGAGAAGCCCCCAAGGCAGAGGCUGAGAAUCAGAAGACAUUUCAGCAGACAUCUACAAAUCUGAAGGACAAAACAUGGUUCAAGCAUCUGGGCACAGGCGGUCCACCCGUGGCUCCAAAAUGGUCUCCUGGUCCGUGAUAGCAAAGAUCCAGGAAAUAUGGUGCGAGGAAGAUGAGAGGAAGAUGGAGCGAGAGUUCCUGGCUGAGUUCAUGAGCACAUAUGUCAUGAUGAACAUACAUAUGAUAGUUGAAAAAGACACAUAUUCUGAUCAUGAAGAAAUAAACACAAGUUAAAUAUGACUAAGCAGAAAGAUGGAAGGACCAGGAACGGUGAUGCUAACUUGGAACCACGAUGCAGGCUCUAAACUCCUCUACAAUCAUCCUCCCUUGGCUGCCGCAGUUUGCUGGGGGUCCACUCCAGACCCUAUUCACUUGGUCCCUCCCCUACCUGGAGGUGUCACCAGUGGAAGCUGCAGAACAGCAAGGAUGGCUGCCAGCUCCUUCUUCUUUGAGCUCCAUCCCAGAGGGGCACUGAUGUGAUGCCAGCAGGAACACUCCUGUAUAAGUUGAUCUGAAGGUCCCAGCAAGGAGCCGACUCACAGAAGAAUGCAGUUUUCACAUCGUGAUGAUUUAAUCUUCCUUGACCUGACCAAUUGACAACCCCAAUUCUCCAGAACCUCACCCGCCACAAUCCCCUUAAAAACCCUGGCCCAGAACCCCUCAAGCAGACAGAUUUGAAGCUUGAGGAUUCCUUCAUCUCUUUGCCCAAUGGCAUUGUGAUUAUUAAACUCUUUUUCUGCUGCAAAUUA
rnacentral:lncRNA from 1 species